GAGUUUGAUCUUGGCUCAGAUUGAACGCUGGCGGCAGGCCUAACACAUGCAAGUCGAGCGGAUGACGGGAGCUUGCUCCUUGAUUCAGCGGCGGACGGGUGAGUAAUGCCUAGGAAUCUGCCUGGUAGUGGGGGACAACGUUUCGAAAGGAACGCUAAUACCGCAUACGUCCUACGGGAGAAAGCAGGGGACCUUCGGGCCUUGCGCUAUCAGAUGAGCCUAGGUCGGAUUAGCUAGUUGGUGGGGUAAUGGCUCACCAAGGCGACGAUCCGUAACUGGUCUGAGAGGAUGAUCAGUCACACUGGAACUGAGACACGGUCCAGACUCCUACGGGAGGCAGCAGUGGGGAAUAUUGGACAAUGGGCGAAAGCCUGAUCCAGCCAUGCCGCGUGUGUGAAGAAAGGUCUUCGGAUUGUAAAAGCACUUUAAAGUUGGGAGGAAGGGCAGUAAGUUAAUACCUUGCUGUUUUGACGUUUACCGACAGAAUAAGCACCGGCUAACUCUAGUGCCAGCAGCCC
rnacentral:rRNA from 1 species